UUUGCUGACCACCCAGGACAGAUUAUAUUCUGAAGAGAAUAUAUUCCUUCUUGUGAUAUACUUUGAAAGCUCCAUGAUGGGAGAUCUACUGUACGAUCCACAAUAACAGCUACAGCUGCCUCAGGUUUUCAAACUCAGUCGUCAGUUUCCAGCAGAGUGACAUCAUGGCGGCUGCAGCACCAGUGUCCAAUGAUUCACAACCUGUGAAGAAGAGAAGAAGCUUGGAAUGGCUACCACCUUACA